rnacentral:rRNA from 1 species
GACGAACGCUGGCGGCGUGCUUAACACAUGCAAGUCGAACGAAGAGCGAUGGAAGCUUGCUUCUAUCAAUCUUAGUGGCGAACGGGUGAGUAACGCGUAAUCAACCUGCCCUUCAGAGGGGGACAACAGUUGGAAACGACAGCUAAUACCGCAUACGAUCUAAUCGCGGCAUCGAGGAGAGAUGAAAGGUGGCCGCUACAUGUAAGCUAUCACUGAAGGAGGGGAUUGCGUCUGAUUAGCUAGUUGGAGGGGUAACGGCCCACCAAGGCGAUGAUCAGUAGGCGGUCUGAGAGGAUGAACGGCCCCCAUGGGACUGGGACACGGCCCAGACUCCUACGGGAGGCAGCAGUGGGGGAUCUUCCGCAAUGGACGGAAGUCUGACGGAGCAACGCCGCGUGAGUGAUGACGGCCUUCGGGUUGUAAAGCUCUGUUAAUCGGGACGAAAGGCCUUCUUGCGAAUAGUGAGAAGGAUUGACGGUACCGGAAUAGAAAGCCACGGCUAACUACGUG